UACGGAGGGAGCUAGCGUUGUUCGGAAUUACUGGGCGUAAAGCGCACGUAGGCGGCCCAGCAAGUCAGGGGUGAAAUCCCGGGGCUCAACCCCGGAACUGCCCUUGAAACUGCUAGGCUAGAAUCUUGGAGAGGCGAGUGGAAUUCCGAGUGUAGAGGUGAAAUUCGUAGAUAUUCGGAAGAACACCAGUGGCGAAGGCGACUCGCUGGACAAGUAUUGACGCUGAGGUGCGAAAGCGUGGGGAGCAAACAGG
rnacentral:rRNA from 1 species